rnacentral:rRNA from 1 species
AAAAACACAGCACUCUGCUAACUCGUACGAGGAUGUAUAGGGGGUGACGCCUGCCCGGUGCUCGAAGGUUAAUUGAUGGGGUUAGCAUUAGCGAAGCGCUUGAUCGAAGCCCGAGUAAACGGCGGCCGUAACUAUAACGGUCCUAAGGUAGCGAACUUCCUUGUCGGUUAAAUACCGACCUGCAUGAAUGGCGUAACGAGAUGGGCGAUGGCUCUAAGAGGGAUCCAGUGAAA